rnacentral:rRNA from 1 species
GUGGGGAAUAUUGCGCAAUGGGGGAAACCCUGACGCAGCAACGCCGCGUGAUUGAAGAAGGCCUUCGGGUUGUAAAGAUCUUUAAUUGGGGACGAAAUAAAUGACGGUACCCAAAGAAUAAGCUCCGGCUAACUACGUGCCAGCAGCCGCGGUAAUACGUAGGGAGCAAGCGUUAUCCGGAUUUACUGGGUGUAAAGGGCGAGUAGGCGGGCCGACGAGUUGGGAGUGAAAUCCGGGGGCUUAACCCCCGAACUGCUUUCAAAACUGUUGGUCUUGAGUGAUGGAGAGGCAGGCGGAAUUCCCAGUGUAGCGGUGAAAUGCGUAGAUAUUGGGAGGAACACCAGUGGCGAAGGCGGCCUGCUGGACAUUAACUGACGCUGAGGCGCGAAAGCGUGGGGAGCAAACAGGAUUAGAUACCCGAGUGUCC